rnacentral:rRNA from 1 species
AAUGAACGCUGGCGGCGUGCUUUACACAUGCAAGUCGAGCGAGGCGUCCCGCAAGGGAUAGUCGAGCGGCGAACGGGUGAGUAACGCGUGGAUUAUCUGCCCUGAGGUGGGGGAUAACCCGGGAAACUCGGGCUAAUACCGCAUAUGACCGUGAGGUCAAAGGGGGUCGGCAAGAUCUCUCGCCAUAGGAGGAGUCCGCGUACGAUUAGCUAGUUGGUAGGGUAAUGGCCUACCAAGGCGGACGAUCGUUAGCCGGCCUGAGAGGGUGAUCGGCCACACUGGAACUGAGACACGGUCCAGAC